rnacentral:rRNA from 1 species
UACGAAGGGGGCUAGCGUUGCUCGGAAUGACUGGGCGUAAAGGGCGCGUAGGCGGUUUGUGCAGUCAGGUGUGAAAUUCCCGGGCUCAACCUGGGGGCUGCACUUGAUACGUAUGGACUGGAGUGGGGAAGAGGGUCGUGGAAUUCCCAGUGUAGAGGUGAAAUUCGUAGAUAUUGGGAAGAACACCGGUGGCGAAGGCGGCGACCUGGUCCGUGACUGACGCUGAGGCGCGAAAGCGUGGGGAGCAAACAGG